AGUCACCUACGGGAGGCAGCAGUAGGGAAUUUUCGUCAAUGGGCGCAAGCCUGAACGAGCAAUGCCGCGUGAACGAGGAAGGUCUUCGGAUCGUAAAGUUCUGUUGAAGGGGAAAAAGAGCGGAGAGAGGAAAUGGUCUCCGAUUGAUAUUACCCUUCGAGGAAGUCACGGCUAACUACGUGCCAGCAGCCGCGGUAAUACGUAGGUGGCGAGCGUUAUCCGGAAUGAUUGGGCGUAAAGGGAGCGUAGACGGUAAUGCAAGUCUGGAGUGAAAGGCGGGGGCCCAACCCCCGGACUGCUCUGGA
rnacentral:rRNA from 1 species